rnacentral:rRNA from 1 species
GAUGAACGCUGGCGGCAUGCCUAAUACAUGCAAGUCGAACGAGAGGAAGGAAAGCUUGCUUUCCUGAAUCUAGUGGCGAACGGGUGAGUAACACGUAGGUAACCUGCCCAUGUGCCCGGGAUAACUUCUGGAAACGGAUGCUAAAACCGGAUAGGUAGCAGACAAGCAUUUGACUGCUAUUAAAGUGGCCUUGGCCAUGAACAUGGAUGGACCUGCGGUGCAUUAGCUAGGUGGUGAGGUAACGGCCCACCAAGGCGACGAUGCAUAGCCGGCCUGGGAGGGCGGGCGGCCACAUUGGGCCUGAGACACGGCCCAAACUCCUACGGGAGGCAGCAGUAGGGAAUUUUCGUCAAGGGGGGGAACCCUGAACGAGCAAUGCCGCGUGAGUGAGGAAGGUCUUCGGAUCGUAAAGCUCUGCUGUAAGAGAAAAACGGCACUCAUAGGGAAUGAUGAGUGAGUGAUGGUAUCUUACCAGAAAGUCACGGCUAACUACGUGCCAGCAGCCGCCGUAAGAC